rnacentral:tRNA from 1 species
CGCUUUGUGGCUUUCUGGCAGAUCUGGAAGGCUUGGGUUUUGCCUGAUUCUGUUCUAGUCUGAGCGAAGUGGCC